GGCUUCGGUUACGAUGUCGAUUUGGAGGUUGUGCCCUUGAGGCGUGGCUUCCGGAGCUAACGCGUUAAAUCGACCGCCUGGGGAGUACGGCCGCAAGGUUAAAACUCAAAUGAAUUGACGGGGGCCCGCACAAGCGGUGGAGCAUGUGGUUUAAUUCGAUGCAACGCGAAGAACCUUACCUACUCUUGACAUCCAGAGAACUUUCCAGAGAUGGAUUGGUGCCUUCGGGAACUCUGAGACAGGUGCUGCAUGGCUGUCGUCAGCUCGUGUUGUGAAAUGUUGGGUUAAGUCCCGCAACGAGCGCAACCCUUAUCCUUUGUUGCCAGCGAUUCGGUCGGGAACUCAAAGGAGACUGCCGGUGAUAAACCGGAGGAAGGUGGGGAUGACGUCAAGUCAUCAUGGCCCUUACGAGUAGGGCUACACACGUGCUACAAUGGCGUAUACAAAGAGAAGCGAACUCGCGAGAGCAAGCGGACCUCAUAAAGUACGUCGUAGUCCGGAUUGGAGUCUGCAACUCGACUCCAUGAAGUCGGAAUCGCUAGUAAUCGUAGAUCAGAAUGCUACGGUGAAUACGUUCCCGGGCCUUGUACACACCGCCCGUCACACCAUGGGAGUGGGUUGCAAAAGAAGUAGGUAGCUUAACCUUCGGGAGGGCGCUUACCACUUUGUGAUUCAUGACUGGGGUGAAGUCGUAAAAAGGUAAGCCCAA
rnacentral:rRNA from 1 species